CGCGGGGUAGAGCAGCCCGGUAGCUCGCGAGGCUCAUAACCUCGAGGUCGCAGGUUCAAAUCCUGUCCCCGCAA
rnacentral:tRNA from 1 species